UACGUAGGGUGCAAGCGUUGUCCGGAAUUAUUGGGCGUAAAGAGCUUGUAGGCGGUUUGUCGCGUCUGCCGUGAAAAUCCGGGGCUCAACCCCGGACUUGCGGUGGGUACGGGCAGACUAGAGUGUGGUAGGGGAGACUGGAAUUCCUGGUGUAGCGGUGAAAUGCGCAGAUAUCAGGAGGAACACCGAUGGCGAAGGCAGGUCUCUGGGCCGAUACUGACGCUGAGGAGCGAAAGCGUGGGGAGCGAACAGG
rnacentral:rRNA from 1 species